ACUCCUUAAUAAGAUGAAUCCUUGAAUCCGUGUCACCAACAAUAAGUCAUGCUGCUUCUGCUUCCCUUCGCCUCCUGACAGGUCUCUGGUGCCAUCCCGUUCUUCUCUUCAGGCAAUUAUUGUGAUAACCGCAUCCAGGCCAUCAAAGAAACAGCUCAGCGAUUGUCAUGACAACCUGAAGAGAGGACGAGCUGUACAGCCACCCAGCGCGGGGACAGAGGGUCCCUGUGACAGGAAGACAGCAUGAGACAAAGGACACAGAUGGAGCUCAGUAACACAGUAUAAGGCGAACCACCGAUACACGGGUGUUGUUAGGAAAGAUUCCUUCAUCACGUGUCCUUUCACCUGUGUCUGCUUCAGCAAAACAUCAUUUGGCAUAACCGACUUUCCAAAGAAGCCAGAAGUUUCCACUUUAAUCAUCUCUCUGCUGCCCCCACAGACCUGGUAGCGCGUUCUGUGGUCAGCUUGUCACAAACCAAGGUUACCCGGGAACCUUAACUGAAGAGCUGCCUCAUCAGACGGGCCUGUAUGCAAGUCUGUGCGGGCGGUUUCUUGAACGGUAAUUGGUGGAAGGAACUCACAGUGGGCCAUGCAACCCCCCCGCAACAGGUUUGUCCUACAUAAUAAAGCAAGCGGAUUGAGCCGCGGAGAAA
rnacentral:lncRNA from 1 species